UAUUCGGGUAUCUGCAUUGGUAGUAUUUCAAUUUCCGUUAUUUCCUAAUCCGAACUCCAUGCCCUUCUUGAUUGUAGGAGUAUUAAUACACCUACAAUCUAGAACUUCCUUGUGAAAGGAAACGAAAUCCCUUGCGGUAAUAGGCUUCUCCAAAUUUCAGGUAUUUUCUUUUCUUAAACCCUAGUAACACUAAAUUUCAUUCUUUAUUAAUUCAAUUCUAUUUUUACAAAACUGAUCUAGUUUCAACUUUCAACAACAAUCAUGAAACUAUCUUUUUCUCUGAAUCCCAAAUCAAACCCUAAACCUAGAUACAAUCAAGAAGAAGAGAAAUCAAGUGAUGAUACCAAACGCGAGUAUAUAACUGAAUUUGACCCAACAAAACCAAUCGAUGAUGGUAAACGUCCCAAAAUCGUUAUUCCUCCAUUAGAAAACUCAUGGAAUUGUACAAAUAAGAUGAAAAAUCUUGAAAGUCUUGCAAAAGCUUCUGCUACUGAUGAUCCUGAAAGUCGGUUUGAACUAGAAGCAACUCCUCCAACUACAGCUGAAGUAGGCGAUCAGGGUUUCAAAUAUGGAUUAACUCUAAGAAAAAAGGAAGAUGAUGAUCAAGAAGAUGUUGUUAUGGUUGAUGCUAAUGGUGGUAGUAUUGAAAAUUUAAUGAUGAACAAAUUUAAAGAGGAUAUGGAGAAGUUGCCGGAGGAUCGAGGAAUCGAUGAGUUUAUUGAUUGCCCUGUGGAGGGUUAUGGUGAGGCUUUACUUGCUGGUUAUGGUUGGAAAAAAGGACAAGGGAUUGGAAAGAAUGCAAAGGAAGAUGUUCAAGUUGUUCAGUUUGUGAAAAGGGCUGGAAGAGAAGGAUUAGGUUAUGAACCUGAAAUUAAUCAUUUGAAGAUAUAGAGGGAUACAGAAAAAGAAGCUGGUGCAGUUCGAGAUUCUGAUAAUCACAAAUGACCCAAUGUUUGGCUUAACCAAAUUGCAACAGCGUCAGACGAAGGAUCAUUUUUUUCGCUGACAGAUCCUUGGUAGUGAACUAGCAACAAAAGAGUAUUUGAAGUCAAUGAAAGAUGAGUGUCUUGUUAAGUGCUGCAGUGGAGAUCUUGUUGUGCUUCCCAAGUUUCUUGAUGUGGAAACAUAUGAAUCAGUGAGUAAGACUCUCUUUAAAGCAGGCAUGGUUAACAUAUAUUAGCCCAAUAUCUUUUCAGUUCACUAGACUUAUUUUUAGCAAAUCCAAUAGCCUAAGACCUUAGUUGCAUGCCCACAUCUAAACGAGUGGCGUGUUCCAUGUCCAGCGCGUUGAACACGCCAAGGAGAAAUAAGAGACCGAAUGACACAACCUGAUGGUAUCAGGAAACUGGAACACAACAUAGAGUGAAAAGUGCAUUUUGUGGGCCAAAUGCAUCAAAUUUUGGAGUUAAGCAUAUAACUCAUAGGGUAUGCAAUAUAUAUAGUAGUUCAUCUGUCAUGAAUAAUAUAUACAGAACCAAUUAAACCCUUAUUGUGCAAGCCAAAUCCAACUCCACAUACUCAUAUGCUGUGUCUGAAUAUCAAGCCUUCCCUGUGCAACCCAGACUGAAAUGGCGAGACCUUCUUGGAUAUUACUUGCAACCCAGAAGUGAUAUCUUAGUAUAUUAGAUUAACUCCUAAACCUGGCUAGUGUAUCUCAUUUAACAGGCCCGAAACUAUCAUAUCACAGUGCCAAAAUUAUCCAGCUGAUCUUUAGGACCUUCCUUAACAGGCUAGAGAAUAGCAUUUUUUUUUGGGAACCAAUCAGUUAAGGAAUGGAUUAUCAGUUAGCUACAAAAAUCUCCAUGAAGCAACUUAUUCGGGGAUGAUUGGGCAAUAAAGAUGGCUACAGCAACUCGGCACAUAUGGAAGGAUAAAUGCAGGUGUUUUUUUUUUUUUUUUUUGGAUACUAGACCUGGCUCAGUUAAAACAAUAACAACAGUUCAAAACUGGAAUUCUCUUAGGCAGUAGCAAGCCACAUCGCAGCAUACCCAAGGAAAAUAACAACUCUCACAGCUAUGAGAGAUGGUGACCCCCCUUGCUAUAAGCUGUGAUGGGAGUUUUAAAUUAUCUACUGAUACAUAUCCAAGCAUCCGUAAUUCGAGCUUCAAGAUGCAUCUGCAGACAUGGAUGUUUCAGUCCGGAGGAGGCUGAUUGUAUGGCGGUGUUGAAAACUGCCAUAUGAGCAGAAUCAUUGGUGCUACCACACAACUUUUGAGAUGGAGGCUCUAAAUAUUAUAGCUGCAAUACAUAAUCACCGGGAGUCUGGCCGUACUAGAUGUUUAUUUGAUUCAGUUAAUUGGAAAUUUCAUUAUGUCAGACGUCAUUGUAAUGAACCAUCUGAUUUUGCUGGGUAAUAUUGCUAGAAGCUUAGAAGUUUUGAAGCUGGGUAAUAUUGCUAGAAUCUUAGAAGUUUCAAAAAAAAUUGGAGCUUAGCUCCACCCGAAAUUUAACUUAGGCAUGUCUUUGUUUGAGCUUGUUCCAUGUUUUUAGUUGAAGAUGCCUUGGUAAAUAAUAAGAAUAUGAUACGAGGUGCUGGAUACAGGAGGAAACUUGGUCUUGGAUCUGUUUGACCUAAUUCCUAAUACAGUGUGUGGGUGGAAAUUCAGUUUUGGUCUACUCAAAAUCAUGAUAUGUGUUUGUUUGUGAUUAGCAUCAAGUUAAACUUCGUUUAGUUCAUGCUCCGGUAUCAGAAUUUCAAGUGGUAAAUAAUUGUAAUUUUAUAUUGUAAAUUCAAAAUUUUAAAUCGUACAGCUCAAACAACAAAUCGA